rnacentral:rRNA from 1 species
GUGAAACUCAAAGGAAUUGACGGGGCCCGCACAAGCAGUGAAGCAUGUUGUUCAAUUCGAUGAUACGCGAGGAACCUUACCAGGUCUUGACAUAUACCUGACGCACAUAGAAAUAUGUGUUUCCUUCGGGACAGGUAUACAGGUGCUGCAUGGUUGUCGUCAGCUCGUGCCGUGAGGUGUUGGGUUAAGUCCCGUAACGAGCGCAACCCCUAUUCUUUGUUGCUAACAGUUUAAGCAGAGCACUCGGAGGAAACUGCCGGUGACAAACCGGAGGAAGGUGGGGAUGACGUCAAAUCAUCACGGCCCUUAUGACCUGGGUUACAAACGUGCUACAAUGGACGGUACAAAGAGUUGCGAGACCGCGAGGUGGAGCUAAUCUCAAAAAAGCGUCCUCAGUUCGGAUUGGAGUCUGAAACCCGACUCUAUGAAGCUGGAAUUGCUAGUAAUCGCACAUCAUAAUGGUGCGGUGAAUAUGUUCCCGGGCCUUGUACACACCGCCCGUCACAUCACCCGAGUUAAAUAUACCCGAAGUAUCCGAGCUAACGGCAUUUUGCCGGGGCAGGGUCCUAAGGUAUGUUCGGCAAGGGGGAUGAAGUCGUAACAAGGUAACCAAGGGCGAA